AUGUCGCGCUCGAAGGAAAACAUUUAUCCUGCUCCGCCCCACUACGGCAGCUCUUCCAACCCCUCCCGACUGCUCCCUUGCAAGCGGCCGCUGCAGUCUCCAUGCCCGCCGCCCCGCCGGCCGCUCGCCGAUGUCACGGGCAACGCCCUGCAGCAGCCCGGAUCCGCAGGCGGCGUGGAGGGCAUCGAUUACGGGUACAUCACUCCCCUCCCCAAGGUGCCCAAGUCUUGCGGGUUCCUUCUAGAGGACGACGACAUGGACGAGGCGUUCUUGCUUGAGGUGGACGCCAUCUGCGAGGAGCACUCGCGGUCCAUGGCCGGGAAGGAUAAGGGCAGGGAGAAAGAUUUGACGGUGGAGCGGGGGCCGGUCGUUGUGGCAGCAGCAACCCACGCCGGACCAGUGUGCGGAACGCUUGAGGACGCAUUCUGGACGGAGGCGUAUGCCAUUUUUGAGGAGUGUGAUGCUCAGCCUGCUGCCAAGAGCCAGGAUGAGGAGCUGAAGGAGAUGGUGGAAGAGGAAAGCUCGGUGCUGUCCUGUGGUGAUGAUUCGCUUCUGCCAGCUGUAUCCAUCGCAGAUGACUGUGUUAAGUUGGAGGACACUUUCUGGGAAGUCAAUGCCAUCAGCAAGGAGCACCAUGUCACAUCUUCUGAGAUGAACCAGGAGCACUACGUCGCAUCUUUGGCGAUCAACCAGGAUGAGAUAGACGAGGUGUAUGUAGAAGAUGGCUCAGUAGCAUUAUGUGUUGAUUUCCCUCCAGUAAUUUCCAUUGCGGAGGAGGGAGGAGAGGUUGUUGAUGCACUCUUGGGGGAGGUCGAUGUCAUCCAUGAGGGGCAGGUUGCCAUGUCUGCUGCCAAGGGCAAGGAGGAGCCUGGGGAGAUGGGACUAGAAAUGGAGGAAAAUGAAGGGUGUGCCCCAAGGAAGUACUAUGAGUAUUUGCACUCCCUAAACGACAAGCAGAGGGAGGCUGCAUGCAGUGAUGUUGCUGUUCCGUUAAUGAUCGUUGCAGGUCCAGGAAGUGGAAAGACUUCUACAAUGGUCGGCAGGGUUCUCACAUUGCUCAAAGAGGGAAUUCCACCAUCAAACAUCCUUGCUAUGACAUUCACAACUGCUGCUGCCUCAGAAAUGAGGGACCGGAUAGGGGCAGUGGUCGGGAAGGCAGUUGCCAAAGAGAUCAUAAUAAGCACAUUUCACUCCUUCUGCUUGCAGCUUUGCAGGACCCAUGCUGAAAAGCUAGGCCGCACAUCUGAAUUCAUAAUAUAUGGCCAUGGGCAACAGAGGAGGGCCAUUAUUGAGGCAGAACGCCUGUUGGAGCAUGGCAAAAGUGAUGGUUUAGGAGAUGCAGUUAAGCAGUAUGAUGGAGACAUUAAACAUUCUUUUAAAGACAAAGCUAAGAAGUGGUUGAAGUUUGUUACACAGGCGAAAUCUUCAGGACAAGCUCCUGAAGAAUAUGAAAAGAAGGGCGAUUUGACAGGAGCUUCGAUUCUUCGGCACUAUAAUGAAAUACUAGUGUCUUGUAAUGCUCUUGAUUAUCAUGAUUUUAUCAACUCAUCCAUAACUCUUCUCACGAAGUUUCCUGAAGUAUACAAAGAGUGCCAGAACACAUGGCAGGCAAUAGUAGUUGAUGAGUUUCAGGAUACCAGUGCUAUGCAAUAUUUUCUUCUGAAGCUUCUAGCUUCUCACAAUCAUAUAACCAUAGUUGGUGAUGAUGAUCAGUCCAUCUUCAGUUUCAAUGGUGCGGAUGUUUCUGGCUUUGAUUCAUUCCGUAGAGACUUUCCAAAUCAUAAAGAGAUUAGGUUGAACAAGAACUACCGCUCUACACGGGCAAUUGUCGAAGCAGCAACAGCUCUUAUUCACAACAACACUAAACGGUGUAAUCAUAAACUUGCUGAGACAGACAACCCUUCUGGAAGUAAGAUCACUGUUAAGGAGUGCCAUAGCGAAGAUUCACAAUGUGCAUUUGUCAUUGACAAAAUCAUUGAAACUACAUCUAGUUCAGCUGAAGGCCGCGACUUUGGUAAAAUUGCUGUCCUAUAUCGAAGACAGAUAACUGGCAAAGCAUUCCAAGUGUCAUUCCGCAACAGGAAAAUACCCUUUAAUGUUCAUGGUGUGGCUUUCUACAGGAAAAAGGCUAUCAAAGCUAUUAUGGCAAUACUUAGGACCACAUUACCUGGUUGUGAUGAUGGCCCAUGGCGUCAGGCCUUAAAGACCCUUUUGCCUGGUGACAAGGAAGAAAAGAAGAAGAUUAUAGAUCAUGUGGAAAAGAUUUCAUUGGCUAGAAAGUGUAGCUUCAUAUCAGCUGCUACUGACAUCUUCAGUGCAAAGGUCUCCGGGACCUUCAAAAGAGUGUCUCAUUUUGUUGGCUGCAGGACCCAGAUUACUCAAGGGCGUAAGGUUUUAUCGACCUUGUAUAGCCUAUCAAAAUUUGUUGAGAGGGAACAAUCAGUUUCAGCUGUCAUUUCUUCUGCAGGAAAUAUGCUACCUCAGCAAUAUCUCCUCGAAAAGCGUGCAGUUAUUGAUAACGAUGGUGGUAAAUUGUUAAAUGAAGACAAUGACAUCAGAUCUGUACUUCAGUUUUUAAUGGAUGAUGUGUCUGACUUCUUGUCAACACACUUUUCUAGUUCAGGGGAUGCAAACCAGACUGAGGAGAAAGGCUGCACUGCUACACUUAAAGCCUUCAUUGAUUACAUUUCUUUGAGGGAAACAGAAAAUUUUCGAUCCCGAAAGGAGGAAAAUAAGAACUCCAUCACAUUAACAACUAUUCAUCAGUCAAAAGGUUUAGAGUGGGAUGUUGUGUUCAUCGUGCAGGCAAAUGAUUCAGAGAUCCCCUUACUGCAUGAGUACAAUGGCACUGUGAAAGAAGCUGGAUGCACAUUGGAGGAGGAGAGGAGACUAUUCUAUGUUGCAAUGACACGAGCUCGGAAGAAAUUGUACAUCUUGCAUGUCACAGUUGACUCUCAUCGCCAGCUGCUACCACCUUCACGUUUCCUUAGAGAGAUUCCAGGUCACCUUCUCGACAUACAGGGUGAGGGGGCUGCAACGAAAUAUCACGAGCAGCCUUCUGGAGACAUUUCAUUUGAUCACGCUGAAGGAGAGACAUCAACUGAAAAGCCUAUUGUAAAUCAGAACGAAACUUCACCUUACCCUGAACUGAUGCAGUCAUGCCUUGCUAAUGAUUUCUUGAAGAGGUUCGAAAUUGAUGAUAGAGCAGUAGUCUCACAUAUAUUUCAUCAUUGGGCGAAGAGGCAGGCAUUUCAAAUUCCAAAGAGACUGCUUGAUAAGAUCAAAUUUGUGAUUGAUGAACGCCUGCGCGGUAAAGGAUAUAAGCGCAAGGAUGUCUUGUGCAAGCUGAAGUCAUUGUUAAGCGACGAUGAAGCGCUUGGUUAUGCAGAAUAUGUUAUCAAGUGGGAACAAAUUCCUAUUGACAAGCGAAGCCAUUUGAUGAGAGAGAGACAGGAACAUUUCCAGAAGCAGAGGAUAGAGAACUCCAUGGGUUCCUCGGAGCCUACACCUAAGCAGAUAUCCUACCUCCGGAGCCUGGGGUGCACCAUAACACCCACGUCUCGUCUCCACGCGUCCAAUCUUAUUGAGAAGUAUAAAUCGCUGUGA
rnacentral:rRNA from 1 species